CUCUCCCGGUCCCCCUCUCUGAAUCUCUCUCUUUUAUUACGGCAGAUUUCCCCAUCUCCGGCUUCCGAGCCUCUGCAUCUUCGCCUUUGUUUGUCUUUAAAGAAGCCACCCGGGGUUGGGGACCCAGACGCCGCCGCCGGCGGAGGCUUCCCGGGGCGACCUCGCCCCCACUACCCGGCAGCACUCCGUUCAGUUCCUGCCUCACUUUUUGCGUUUCCUUUUGGCGGAAUCUGGCCUUCUCGGCUCCGUCUCAGCUCAGGCUGGCUCCCGGGAGCCCAGGAUGGGGAGGGAGCCUAGUCUACGCAAGCUCUAAAGGCAGAUUCACUUGAUAUACCGACUGGAACCCGAGGAGGAGGAGGCGGGUUGGGGCCCCGGCGUACCAGGAGCUUCGCCUUCUCCUGCCUCCGGCUGUCUCUCCGAUCGUGCGUUCGCUGGAGAGGGGUAGGCCUGGCCUUUUCGCUUCCAGGCCGCUUUCACAAGGGCCAGGCUUUGUCCCCACCUCUAUCCCAACCUCAGGGUCUCCGCGGACUGCAGCGCCGCUGGGUGGGCCCGGUGGGAGGCUCCGGUAGGAGUCCGGCGCCCUAGAGCCAGCCCGGCAGAAGCGGAAUCCCAGCGCCUGGAUGAGAACCGCCUGGCUGCCGACAACAGCGCUCCUCAUCUGAGGCUCUGGUGGUGGACUCCGCAGUCUGAGAGGGACAGAAAGCCUGUAGGAGCUGCCUCCCCAGACCCCACUCCCACCAAACUCCACCCGCGUUACACCAAGGCUGCUACCCCGAGACUCAGAUUGGAGCCUCAGACUCCAGUCUCCCAGCCCUCCUGUUGGAAGGUUCUUCUCAGUUGAAGCAGAGGUCUUGGGUCCAGACCAGCUCUCAGCUCCUGCAGGAAGCUCACCCUACAAGGUCUAAGGAGAAAUCUCUUGGGCACAGGACUUUCUCUUUUUUUCCAAGCCACCCUCUUGAAACUAGCACCUCUACUUCUGGCCAGCAAGCGGGACUGCUCCCCAGAAGCGUGCGCGCGCAGGUCGCCAUCCAGGCGGGUCUCUGCGCUUCUGCGCUGAAGCGGCAGCUGCCAAGCCCGAGGCUCCUCCGCAGGGCUCGGACUGGGCAGGACUGGAGGAGU